CCUACGGGCGGCAGCAGUGAGGAAUAUUGGUCAAUGGGCGAGAGCCUGAACCAGCCACGUAGCGUGAAGGAUGACUGCCCUACGGGUUGUAAACUUCUUUUAUAAAGGAAUAAAGUGAGGCACGUGUGCCUUUUUGCAUGUACUUUAUGAAUAAGGAUCGGCUAACUCCGUGCAAGCAGCCGCGGUAAUACGGAGGAUCCGAGCGUUAUCCGGAUUUAUUGGGUUUAAAGGGAGCGUAGAUGGGUUGUUAAGUCAGUUGUGAAAGUUUGCGGCUCAACCGUAAAAUUGCAAUUGAUACUGGCAGUCUUGAGUACAGUUGAGGUAGGCGGAAUUCGUGGUGUAGCGGUGAAAUGCUUAGAUAUCACGAAGAACCCCGAUUGCGAAGGCAGCUUACUAAACUGCCACUGACAUUGAUGCUCGAAAGUGUGGGUAUCAAACAGGAUUAGAUACCCCGGUAGUC
rnacentral:rRNA from 1 species